UCUCUCUCCAAUGGCGUCCAGUACGUCUCCGAUCUCUGCAUUGUCACCGCUGGGGCCACGACGAGUCCAGGCUCAACUUGCCACAGAGGAAUGUCUCUCUCUUCCGCAAGAUCAUCCCUCCGCUCACCAAGUACUCACCGAAGACCAUUUUGCUGAUUGUGUCAAAUCUGGUACUUUGCUGAGGUGAUAAUCCAGCCGAUCGUCCAUCGGUUCGAUUCGCAACCAUGUUCGAAGCACAUGUAAGGCACUUUCUGAUUUUUGCUCUCUCAAUUUUGAUGGUUUAGCGAUGAAUUUGACUAUCUGUGGUGCUUUGAUUGUUGAAAUUUGAUGAAAGCCCCUUCGGCACUGUCCUUGCUUGAUUGUUAUUGUUUAUGUGAUAUCUCUCACAAAUCUCACUCUUUCGCUUUACGAAGAUCAAGUCGGCCUCGUCGAUUGGUAAAUUUCAAUCUCGUAUAGCUUAAGCGAUUUUGAUUUUCGAUUCUUACUCGCUCGAUUUCUCUAAAUGAAAUCGAAGUUGAUUCUCUCCUUAUCGAGCUUUGAAUUUGAUCGUUUUGGAGUUGAAUAUCUGUUUUGUUUUGAAUCCGAGAUUGAAUUCUAUGAACUUCAUUGAAUAUGCUUGAAGUUGAUUGGUUUGUUGCCUUUUUCUAUGAAUCCGAGUUUGAAGCUUGAAUUCAAAAAUGUGAAAAUAUGUAUGUGGUUCUUUCAAACCCUAUGAACGAUGGGUUUGUUGCCUUUUUCUAUCUAUAAGAAUAUUGUUCCAAAAGCUUUUUCAAUGGUUGCCUUUUGGACUUGCAUUAGCUAUUGAUCACCAAGUAGGAUCAUCUAGGCUAGAAGAUAUUUAAGUAAUAUGAAGAUAAAGAAACCAACUCCUCUCUCACAAAAAAUGCCUCAUGCAGAUCCAUUGGCUCUUCGAUUCCAAUCCCUCCAAUCUCCCUAAUUUAGUAAAGGCUCUGACUCUCUCAUUCUCUUCAAAAUAUUAAUCCAAACUCGAUCCACUUCUAAGUUUUUUUUUUCUUCUAGACUCAUUGGCUUUGGCACGAAAACUCAUAAAGAACGUUUCAAAGUUUCCAGGUUCUUGAACUAAUAAACUACUGUUGCUGAUUUGAAAUUUUUAUAAUUAUGUUAUUUGAUGUUUCAUGCCUUUUUCAUAGUUGGAAUGUGAUAUUUAAUAGAUUAUAUUGCAUUGACAUUCUAUUGAAUUGGCUUUGUGUUUGAUCUUAUACACCGUAAUGCAGUUUUUGUCAAGUGGUUUUGUUGUGAUGCUUUUUCAUUAUGAUGGUAACGUUGAUGAGUGGAAGCAAUUUCAAUGGAAUGAUCUUGUCAUUUAUGUGUCUGCAGUCAAUCAAACAAAAUGGUGGUUCGCAAAGCGUUUCUUACAUCCUGAUAUAGUUGAUCAAUAUAGUCGCAUUCUUCUACGGGAUGAGGACCUUGGAGUUGACAAUUUCAAUCCUCAACGGUACUGUAGCUGCAUUUCCUUUUAGCAAAGUUAGGAUGCUUGCUUGCAUUUGAACUAUUGUAAAACUCUGUUGCUCAAACUCUAUAUUGUUCUUCUUCUACAACACUUCUCGGUAUGUGUCCAUUGUUCGAAAGGAAGGGCUUGAAAUAUCACAACCGGCACUUGAUUUUUCCAAGACAGAGGUGAACUACAUGGAGAAACUUUCGAAAGAGGAGGGGAUUCAGAAGAAACUCAGCAAGGAUAUUUUGCAAUAUAAAGCUCAUAUAAUCAAGAUAUUUGCGGAACAUAGGCACAAUUGGAUCUCUGCAGAUUUAGAGUUUUAGAAAUUUGCCUAGGGCUUAGGAUGCAAGUCACUGGUGAAUUGUAAACUCCAGUUUAUUAAAUAAAUUAGCUUUUUGUAUC